GGCGGUAGGCCUAACACAUGCAAGUCGAACGGCAGCACAGUAAGAGCUUGCUCUUAUGGGUGGCGAGUGGCGGACGGGUGAGGAAUACAUCGGAAUCUACCUUUUCGUGGGGGAUAACGUAGGGAAACUUACGCUAAUACCGCAUACGACCUUCGGGUGAAAGCAGGGGACCUUCGGGCCUUGCGCGGAUAGAUGAGCCGAUGUCGGAUUAGCUAGUUGGCGGGGUAAAGGCCCACCAAGGCGACGAUCCGUAGCUGGUCUGAGAGGAUGAUCAGCCACACUGGAACUGAGACACGGUCCAGACUCCUACGGGAGGCAGCAGUGGGGAAUAUUGGACAAUGGGCGCAAGCCUGAUCCAGCCAUACCGCGUGGGUGAAGAAGGCCUUCGGGUUGUAAAGCCCUUUUGUUGGGAAAGAAAAGCAGUCGAUUAAUACUCGGUUGUUCUGACGGUACCCAAAGAAUAAGCACCGGCUAACUUCGUGCCAGCAGCCGCGGUAAUACGAAGGGUGCAAGCGUUACUCGGAAUUACUGGGCGUAAAGCGUGCGUAGGUGGU
rnacentral:rRNA from 1 species